rnacentral:rRNA from 1 species
AAGUAAAAGUCGUAACAAGGUUUCCGUAGGUGAACCUGCGGAAGGAUCAUUACCGAUUCGUAACACCUUAAUCACUGUGCACUCGGUCGCUGCAUGGCAGCUCCUUUCGGGGUUGGCCUUCGGGUCAUUAAAUCGGGAACGGGCACUGCUUUUAAGCAGGGCUUGCUUCUCGGGCCCCGAUCGGAGUAUGCGUGCAGCGGUUUUUCACGGCCGCGCCCCGUGCCCGGCAUUCGUGAACCUUUUUCAACCUUGCAAAUUUGCAGACUGUACUGUUUGUCAAGCUUGUCUUGAUGUUUAAAUCAUGGACAACUUUCAACGGUGGAUCUCUUGGCUCGUGGAUCGAUGAAGAACGCAGCAAAACGCGAUAUGUAGUGUGAAUUGCAGAAUUCAGUGAAUCAUCGAAUCUUUGAACGCAAAUGGCGCUUCUGGGUAUUCCCAGAAGCAUGUCUGUCUCAGCGUCGUUUUCACCUCGAGCACGCUUCGGCGUGGUGGUCUUGAGGCGUCUGGGAGCGUAACAGCACCCAGUCCCUUGAAAUUCAGUGGCCGGACAGUGUGUGCUCUCGGGUCGGUUCGCCCCGAAUUCGCUCGCACGGCUGAUGGCGAGAUUUCCUAUCUCCCUUGUCGUGUUGCAGCGGUUGUGGGUGGAGCCUGGCUCGAUGUGGCCUUUGUCCGAAACAAGCCAGUUCUGGAAAACGCACAGUUUUCAUUGCGCUGCUUAAUUGCAGCCGAGAAAACAUCUUCGACCUGAGAUCAGGCAAGACUACCCGCUGAAUUUAAGCAUAUUAAUAAGCGGAGGA